UUCACCCAAUGGUCCAAGGUUUUUAACGAUUUUUUACCAUACUUAACUCUCCAACUAAUAGUUUUUGAGAACUUUUGCGAUACUCUAAUUGGUUUUUCCGUGAAGCUCUCUUUCUUUACGCAUAGGUACGGAAAGUAUGGCGAAAAAGUCCCAUAGAUACAAAAUUCUUCAAGAGGCAGAUCAGUCCGUAACUUCGAGGAGCUUUAUAGAUAUCUACAUAAAUAUCAGACGGGAUCAUCUAUAACUUCAUAAGUAAAACUAAUUUUAAUAUUAUUAGUGAUGUUGCUUUUUAAAUGCUAAAUACUUUGUAGGGACUUGAGAUGUUGGUAUAAUAUUAUGAUAGAUAUUUAAUGUCAAGUGUAGAUAUUACUUAAGUAAUGGUUCUUAAAGAUUUAAAAAUGCUUUAUACUGUUCAAAUACCUAUGUAGUAGUAAAAAUUAAGUACUUUCAGUUAAUACGUCUUUUUGUUUGUUUAAAAGCUUCUAGGUUGCUUACUCUGGUUUAUUGUAUGUUCAUAUUGUUAUCGAAUUCUUAAGUACAGAUUAUAAUAAUUACUUGAGCUAUCAAAAUUAUCACACGAAUUAUCUACUUAAUAAUAGUAGUAAGUAGUCGUGAAAAAACACAAAAAUAAAUAAAAAGAUAGUUUAAAUAAAACCUAACGUAAAAUGCAGAAGCAAGAACACAAUACUAAAAAGGAAUAAGUAUCAUAAUUAAGUAGGUAUAAAAAUAAGUAGGGACAAGUAUGCGACCUCACAUCGCUAAUUGCUAAGUACUUAAAAUUAAGAAAAGGCUAAAAAAAGCCAAUAUAUAAUAUUUUCUAAGAAAAAGCCGUUAAAGCAAAACAUCAUCCGUAAAACGACCACAAUAUCUAAUAAAUUGUAAAUGGCAUUGGGAAUGCUAGAAUAAUGUAAGUAAAUAUUUUACCUCAAAUAUUUAAAAUUAUAAUCUAUUAAAUAUCCGUCUGUAAUAUUAGGUUCAAUAAAAUAUUUAAUACAAAAUGGAAUAGGUUGGAGAUAUUGUUUUGCACAUUACAAGAUUCAAAAAUGUUUACGUUAUGGCAGAGCUUUUGAUUUAAAACUUUAUAAUAUCGUCUGUUGAAUAAGUCGAAGCCCUAUAAUAUUUAACGCUUCUGCCAUAUAUUUAAUUCUACCAACGCAUAAUAUGAAACACUACCGUCAGUUUUUCCGCACGAUCACACUAAGGGCAUUUUUUGUGUUUAUAGCAACUGCAAUAA